AUGGCGAUCCACGGGGAUAAUCAUUUAGGGAAGGCCUCCCAGGAGCCUCAGCCAUUAUCCCUGCAAGGAGCUUAUUCCGCACUGUGCUCGUCCUCGUUAAAGAUGCAGCCACCUGCUUGCAGGUAUUCUCUGGAAAAGGACGAAGACACACCUGAGGAAGGGAGGCACCUGAAGGCGGAAACGGAGCAACCUCAGUGUGGUCGGGAGAACAGCAACUCUGACGGCGUCCCCUGGAAGCUUCCAGCAACCGGGCCCCUUAGCGGCGUGGAGAAGACGGAGCCAUCCUUCCCAGAGGUGCAGCCCCCAGACUGCGGGUCCUCUCCUCGACCCCCCCUGGAAAGCCUGUCCAAGAAGCACUGUCAGAACCAGGGGAAACUUCUCCACUUUGACCGGCAGGCGCCGGGCCGCGCGUCCACCUCGCCCACAUUGAGGAGGUUAAGGGGCCGCAGCUGCGGGAGUGUGCGUGGGCGUGCGCACGGCACUGCGCAUGCGCCGCCUCAGCAGGAGGCCUUGGAGGGACCCGCCUCGGGCAGCUGCAAGGAGUCUUCCGGCUCCCCGCACCGCCUUUCCAACGGGCUGUUUGGAAGCCCAGAGGAGUCUUCGCACUCCCUGUUGCCCCUGAGACUCCACUCAAGAUUGCCUCCGGACCCCGAAACGGCACUCAACGCAGCCGACUCAUUUGAGCUCCAAAUGGCGCCCAGUGAUGAGUUUGCCCUUCCCGUGCUUCAGCCCCUCAACGAGGGCUCGCUUCCUCAGGCCUCCCUUCCACGGAGUGGAGGCCAGCCAGCACCCAGCCGCGCCCCACGGCUCCCCAGGCCUCAGAGAGAAGAAUUGCAUCAGUCCAGGUAUGUGUGUCUUUAUUUUCUCUAGUGCUAUGAAGUCUGUUGA